AUGCCCUCCCUGUACAAGCAGCUGGGCCUGGGCGCCGCCGGCUCGCCGGUGAACGCGUCCCACCUCCUCAUGCUCGUCCUCGGCGCCGGCUUCCUCGCCUUCACCGUCUUCGUCGUCCACCCCAACGACUUCCGCCUCCAGUCCUUCUUCUCCGGCGCCUGCCCCGGCUCCCCGCCGCAUGACCCCGUUCUCGCGCCGGUCAACGCCACGCCCAAGGCCAAGGCCGCCACGACCACGCCAGUCAAGGCGCCGGACGGGCACCCCGGCGUGCGCGUGCUGAUCGGCAUCCAGACGAUGCCGGGCAAGUACGAGCGGCGGCACCUGCUGCGGACCGUGUACGCGCUGCAGCUCCAGGAGCACCCCGCCCUUGCCGGCGCCGUGGACGUGCGCUUCGUCUUCUGCAACGUCACCUCCGCCGUCGACGCCGUGCUGGUGGCCCUGGAGAUCAUGCGGUACGGCGACGUCAUCGUGCUCGACUGCGCCGAGAACAUGGACGGCGGCAAGACGUACGACUUCUUCGCCACCGCCGCCCGCGCCUUCCCCGACGGCGCCUACGACUACGUGAUGAAGGCCGACGACGACACGUACCUGCGGCUCCCGGCGCUGGCGGCGUGGAUGGCCGGCGCGGCGCGGGAGGACGCGUACCUGGGCCUGCAGAUGCCGUGCGACCGGGAGAACUUCUACCCGUUCCCGCCCUUCAUGUCCGGCAUGGGGUACGCGCUGUCGUGGGACCUGGUGCGCUGGGUGGCGAGCUCCGAGGUCAGCCGCCGCGACCGCGUCGGGCCGGAGGACAUGUGGACGGGGCGGUGGCUCAACGUCGCCGGCAAGGCCAAGAACCGCUACGACGGCGCCCCCAGGAUGUACAACUACCUGGGGAGCUCCCCGGCCAACUGCUUCCGGCGCGGCUUCCGCCCGGACACCAUCGCCGUGCACAUGCUCAAGGACGCCGGCCGGUGGGCCGAGACGCUCGCCUACUUCAACGCCACCGCCGCGCUGCCGCCGUCCGCGCUCUACCACCUGCCUUGA
rnacentral:rRNA from 1 species